ACUGCUUUCCUUGGAGGUAAUAGCAGGCAACGUGCUUCAUACAGUCUUCUACAUUGUCGUUGAGAUGUGAAGAUGACAAGAGAAAACAACUGCCAGUGCUUCUGUGUUGUGCCCCUUGCUCUGCCCGCCAACUCUUGUACUUCUGCACUGUGCUCCUGGUUUGCCUGUUCGGUUUGCAUGGUUUCCCAUGCAGGUGGAGUGAGGGGUGCCUGUCUUUACAAGUUUCUUAAUAAAACGUCCUGCAUUUUUCUGUCUUUAGGCUAUUAGAUCAGCUUCCCAGAGCCAAUGUUGUUUUCCUAAGGUAUCUGUUUGGGGUAUUACACAACAUUGAACAACAUUCCUUAUCUAAUCAGAUGACUGCAUUUAACUUAGCAGUGUGUAUCGCUCCAAGCAUUCUUUGGCCUCCUGCUUCCUCCAGUCCAGAGCUAGAAAAUGAAUUUACAAAAAAGGUAAUGACAUUUCUUCAUUCUUAUGUUCCCGAGCCCUCACUCCCCAUUUUGAUACAUUUGAAAUUCAUGGUGUUCUUAAAUGGCUAAUGUAGACUUUCCUAUGGGGGGUUAUUGACCAUUCUGUCCUCGUAUAGAUUAUGGCAAAUUGAUACCAAAUGGGGGGGGGGGAUCAGUUGUUACUUCGAUUAAA
rnacentral:lncRNA from 1 species